GAGAGAGAGGGUUGAUCGUUGCCACCGCCAUCCGACGUGCCCCACCGCUGUUCCCGCGCCUGGCCCGCCGCUGCUCCCGCUGUCGUCACCAACCUGAACAAACGCCUGCACUCUGUAUCGUCACUGGUUCCUGCUGCACCUGCCACCGAGAGCUGCUCAUCCAGGACGUCCAGCGAAUCCAACGAACGUCAAAGUAGUCGUCGCGAGCUCUUGCGUCUCCGACCUCCCGGUUCCAGGAGAUCCCAAUUCUUAGGUGCCCCCUACGGUCUGUUGACAGUCACUUACAUCGCCGCUACUCUUCACCGUCGGCCAAUGAAAGCUUCACGCCAAGGCCGAGCAUCGCCUCAUUAUCCCACCGUCCUCGUCGUCGAGUACCACUAUCACCAAUUCCCGUGAUUCACGAGCAUCACCGCAAAUUGAGCCGGAAACCGCUGCGAGCUGAGUCUACGCCGCUGUCCCACUUACAGUCGGCCGUCCCGUGAUCCGCAAACCCAAUCCGGCAUCAAACUCGAAUUUGGAAGUUAUCCGUAAAUUAGGUAAGAAACUUUAUCCGAUAUCGUUUCAAAUAUUUAAAUUCCUAAUUCGAGUGAUUUUGUUGUCUUUGGUUGGUUAGUAGAUAUAUUUGAAUGAUGCAUGGCAUAUUCGCAAGAUUCCAAAAAAUACACUAAGUUAGGAAAUUCCUAA